rnacentral:rRNA from 1 species
UACGUAGGGUGCGAGCGUUGUCCGGAAUUAUUGGGCGUAAAGGGCUCGUAGGCGGUUUGUCGCGUCGGGAGUGAAAACGCCGGGCUUAACUCGGUGCUUGCUUUCGAUACGGGCAGACUAGAGGCAUGCAGGGGAGAACGGAAUUCCUGGUGUAGCGGUGAAAUGCGUAGAUAUCUGGAGGAACACCGGUGGCGAAGGCGGCAUCCUGGACCAACACUGACACUGAGGAGCGAAAGCCAGGGGAGCAAACGGG